rnacentral:lncRNA from 1 species
AGGAAGGUGGCUCCGGCGGCGGUUGGCCAGCCAGGGCUCAGUCGGCGGCGGCCUGGGCGUACGCAGUAGGUGCAGGGAAGUGGGGUGAAGGUGGCUCGGGGUGCGGCUAGGGCUAGGUUAGGGUUACAAGGCUCCAAACACUAAAGAGCUAUAAAUACUAAGGUGCAACUUUGCAAAUAAGUCCACUAAACCUCAGUAUUUAUUACUGAGUCCUUCACAGCGCGUGUAAAACGCGCGGACACCCCUCCACGGGCGAUCCCACGCGAAACGGUACAUAAAAUAUCGCGACUUUUGCGAAAUUACCGUUUUGCCAUUACAGACCUCUCCUCGAUCAACGCGUAAUCUCCGCAGAUCCAUCCGUCAGAUUUGCGAACGGAUUGCACCAGUGCGAUCAGCACGACGGAGACAGCAAAGCUACGAUUUCGUUUCACCACGAUCGACCACGGAUUCGCGACGAAAUCCAAUCUUUCUUUCCAAUAGAAGGAAUAACACAUAAAUACAUAUAAAACAUGUAUUUUUGGAUUUUCUCGAAAUCCGUGCGUCAAACUCAAAAUCCGUCAGCUCCAAUAGUUCCAGAACAGCUAAACCGAUCGAAAUGAGCUAUUGGACCGCUAUGAACGAAGUCCGAUACGAGCCAGAAGCUAACUUCCCACCGUGGCUUCUCCGGAAAAUCGAGUUACUAUUCACUUUAAGUGAAACUUGGAAAUCGCGUAGAAUUUUCGUUGUAACUCAUUUUCAUCCGAAACUUGACGAGUGCUUUUGUAAUUAAAUUACACACAAAAGCAUCAUCAACUGAGAGUUUAGCUACACUGCAAAAGUCUCAGUCCAUACACGCCGGUGCACACGGGGCCGAGAAGAUCAGGGCGAAUGCGAGGGCGAUUUGGGACUGGGAUCGGAGCUUGGAGAGGACGCGGAGGAAGAGGGAGGAGGGGAUGAGUAGAGGUGGAGGAGAGAGCGAGAGCUCGAGCUCGCACGGAGGGGGAGAGCUCGAGCUCAGAGAGGAGUUGGUGACGGAUCGAGGUGGUCGACAGAGGGGAGGGGUGCGGGGGAGUGGGAUCGGGUUGGGUUAAGGUGAGGAUGAGGGUAAGGGUUUGGGUUAGGAUUGAAUUAGUGCUCAAAGUAAAUAUAUUUAAUAUAUAAAUAUUAGUCGGUAAAGAUACUUAGUUUAAAAUAAUUGCCGCUAAAGUACAAUCACAUAAUAAGUAAUAGUGGCGGUUCGAUAAUCGUCACUAUUAAAUUGCCGCUAAAAGACAAUUUUGUUAUAAUGGAUGCCGAGCCUACUUUUACAGUAGUGUUUACACUAUUCCGAAUUAGUGGGUGCGGUAGUGGUUGAUGGUGGAUCCGGAUUUGACCGUUUUGAUAUCAGAUUGUGCCGAGGGCAUGUGACUAGUUGGUUUGUAGUCUAGUUGGACCUGUUUUCUUGAUUUUAGCCUGUAAGAGCCUGAUUGAAUUCGGCAGAGAUACGCUUGCAUACUCGGUUGGGUCGCACCCACGAGUGCCGCUCCGGAGCCUGGCUUUGUGCUUUCGCGUUGAUGUCGCUGAUUAGUUUUGCUAUCCACGGACUGUUUAGCGUGGAGGUAGCGUGGCUUAGACAGGCGGGACGGGUGCGUUCACAGUCCCUAG